rnacentral:rRNA from 1 species
UACCAGCUCUCCGAGUGGUGUGGAUGUUUAUUGGGCCUAAAGCAUCCGUAGCUGGCUGGGCAAGUCCCCUGUUAAAUCCACCGAUUUAAUCGUUGGAGUGCGGGGGAUGCUGUUCGGCUAGGGGACGGGAGAGGCAGACGGUAUUUUCGGGGUAGGGGUGAAAUCCUAUAAUCCCGGGAAGACCACCAGUGGCGAAGGCUGUCUGCUAGAACGCGCCCGACGGUGAGGGAUGGAAGCUGGGGGAGCGAACCGGAUUAGAUACCCGGGUAGUCCCAGCUGUAAACGAUGCAGGCUAGGUGUUUGGGCGGCCACGUGCCGCUCUAGUGCCGCAGGGAAGCCGUUAAGCCUGCCGCCUGGGGAGUACGGCCGCGAGGCUGAAACUUAAAGGAAUUGGCGGGGAGCACCACAAGGGGUGAAGCUUGCGGUUU